AUUGAACGCUGGCGGCAUGCUUUACACAUGCAAGUCGAACGGUAACAGGCCUUCGGGUGCUGACGAGUGGCGAACGGGUGAGUAAUGCAUCGGAACGUACCCAGAGGUGGGGGAUAACGCAGCGAAAGCUGUGCUAAUACCGCAUGUGAUCUGAGGAUGAAAGCGGGGGACCGAGCAGCAAUGUUUGGCCUCGCGCCUUUGGAGCGGCCGAUGUCGGAUUAGCUAGUUGGUGGGGUAAAGGCCUACCAAGGCGACGAUCCGUAGCUGGUCUGAGAGGACGACCAGCCACACUGGGACUGAGACACGGCCCAGACUCCUACGGGAGGCAGCAGUGGGGUAUUUUGGACAAUGGGCGCAAGCCUGAUCCAGCAAUGCCGCGUGCGGGAAGAAGGCCUUCGGGUUGUAAACCGCUUUUGGCAGGAACGAAACGGUGUCCGCUAAUACCGGGCGCUAAUGACGGUACCUGCAGAAUAAGCACCGGCUAACUACGUG
rnacentral:rRNA from 1 species